UACGGGGGGGGCAAGCGUUGUUCGGAAUUACUGGGCGUAAAGGGUGCGUAGGCGGGCAGGUAAGUCCGUGGUGAAAUCUCUGAGCUUAACUCAGAAACUGCCAUGGAUACUAUUUGUCUUGAAUAUUGUGGAGGUAAGCGGAAUAUGUCAUGUAGCGGUGAAAUGCUUAGAUAUGACAUAGAACACCAAUUGCGAAGGCAGCUUACUACACAGUUAUUGACGCUGAGGCACGAAAGCGUGGGGAUCAAACAGG
rnacentral:rRNA from 1 species